rnacentral:rRNA from 1 species
AUUGAACGCUGGCGGCAGGCCUAACACAUGCAAGUCGAACGGUAGCACAGAGAGCUUGCUCUCGGGUGACGGGUGGCGGACGGGUGAGUAACGUCUGGGAAACUGCCCGAUGGAGGGGGAUAACUACUGGAAACGGUAGCUAAUACCGCAUAACGUCGCAAGACCAAAGUGGGGGACCUUCGGGCCUCACACCAUCGGAUGUGCCCAGAUGGGAUUAGCUAGUAGGUGGGGUAAUGGCUCACCUGGGCGACGAUCCCUAGCUGGUCUGAGAGGAUGGCCAGGCACACGGGAAAUGAGACACGGUCCAGACUCCUACGGGAGGCAGCAGUGGGGAAUAUUGCACAAUGGGCGCAAGCCUGAUGCAGCCAUGCCGCGUGUAUGAAGAAGGCCUUCGGGUUGUAAAGUACUUUCAGCGGGGAGGAAGGCGGUGAAGUUAAUAACUUCACCGAUUGACGUUACCCGCAGAAGAAGCACCGGCUAACUCCGUGCCAGCCGCCGCCGUAAGAC